rnacentral:tRNA from 1 species
GGCCCGUUGGUCAAGUGGUUAAGACAGGGCCCUUUCACGGCUGUAACAUGGGUUCGAAUCCCGUACGGGUCACCA